AGUCAGUAGGAGUAGACCCGAAACCGGGUGAUCUAUCCAUGUCCAGGUUGAAGCUGCCGUAAGAGGUAGUGGAGGACCGAACCCACAUCCGUUGAAAAGGGUGGGGAUGAGGUGUGGAUAGGGGAGAAAUUCCAAUCGAACCCGGAGAUAGCUGGUUCUCCUCGAAAUAGCUUUAGGGCUAGCCUCGAUACAGAUUUGCGGAGGUAGAGCACUGAAUUUCCUAGGGGGCGUCAAAGCCUACCGAAGAAUAUCAAACUCCGAAUGCCGCGUAAUCGAUUAUCGGGAGUCAGACUGCACGAGAUAAGUUGGGCGGUCAAAAGGGAAAGAGCCCAGACCUUCAGUUAAGGUCCCCAAGUGCGCGUUAAGUGGAAAAGGAUGUGGGAUUUCGAAGACAACCAGGAUGUUGGCUCAGAAGCAGCCAUCCAUUCAAAGAGUGCGUAAUAGCUCACUGGUCGAGAGGUCCUGCGCCGAAAAUGUCCGGGGCUGAAACGCGCCACCGAAACUAAGGAACCGAAAGGUUGGUAGAGGAGCAUUGCAUGCGGGAAGAAGCAGUACCGUAAGGAGCUGUGGACUGCAUGGAAGAGAGAAUGCCGGAAUGAGUAGCGAGAAUAAGGUGAGAAUCCUUAUGGCCGAAUAUCCAAGGUUUCCAGAGUAAAGCUGAUCUGCUCUGGGUAAGUCGGGGCCUAAGGCGAGGACGAGAGUCGUAGCCGAUGGACAACAGGUGGAGAUUCCUGUACUGCGGUAUGACAGAACUGUGGGGACACGUAAGGAAAGCGGAAGCCGGGAAUGGAAAGCCCGGUGCAAGCGGGGUACCAGUCACUUUGGCAAAUCCGGGUGGCAAUGGGAAGCCGUGAUGCGGAGCGAAAUAAAGUAGCGAAGUCCGUGAGCCAUGCGUCAAGAAAAGCCGCUAUCGUUUAUACCGUACCCGUACCGUAAACCGACACAGGUGGAUGAGGAGAGAAUCCUAAGGCCGGCGGAAGAAGCAUUGUCAAGGAACUCGGCAAAAUGGCCCCGUAACUUAGGGAUAAGGGGUGCCUGGGAAACCAGGCCGCAGAGAAUAGGCUCAAGCAACUGUUUAGCAAAAACACAGGUCUAUGCGAAACCGAAAGGUGAGGUAUAUGGGCUGACGCCUGCCCGGUGCUGGAAGGUUAAGAGGAGAGGUUAGCGGUAACGCGAAGCUUUGAAUUUAAGCCCCAGUAAACGGCGGCCGUAACUAUAACGGUCCUAAGGUAGCGAAAUUCCUUGUCGGGUAAGUUCCGACCCGCACGAAAGGCGUAAUGAUUUGAGCGCUGUCUCGACAAUGCAUCCGGUGAAAUUGAAGUACCAGUGAAGAUGCUGGUUACCUGCGCCAGGACGGAAAGACCCCAUGGAGCUUUACUCCAGUCUGGUACUGGGACUCGGUAUUGCAUGUACAGGAUAGGUGG
rnacentral:rRNA from 1 species